CCUGAUGGCAGUGAGGUUUCAGGGGAGUUGAGCUUUGCUUGCUCUCCCCUAUCCCUCAACCCUAACUCUGCAUGUCAUCCUCAGGGCACUGAGUUCCAAAGAGGGUGGAGCCUAUGUUUGGGAUCUCCAGUGUCUCCACGUGAUGGCAGGGGUAUCACUGACCACUGUUUCCCCACAAAGGAGUAACACCCUCUUUUUUAAAAUUUAUAUAUCUAUAUUUUUUUAAACUGCCAUAUAUGAAAACAAACAGAGGGAGAGGAGCUACACAGACUACUGAAAGCCCAGGAUACCGCACAGAGGAGCAAGAAUCAAGUUGGAUAAACCAAGGAGAGACGAGACGGCCGAGGCUUGGGUGCCCGACGAGGGGUGACGUGGGAUAGGAGCCCGAUGAGCCACCUGAGGCGUGGGAGCCCGACGAGACGGCUGAGGCGUGGAAGCCCGACGAGGUGUGACGUGGGAUGGGAGCCAGACGAGACGGCUGAGGCGUGGGAGCCCGACGAGGUGUGACGUGGGAUGGGAGCCAGACGAGACUGCUGAGGCGUGGGAGCCCGACGAGGUGUGACGUGGGAUGGGAGCCCGAUGAGCCACCUGAGGUGUGGGUGCCCGACGAGGCGUGAUGUGGGAUGGGAGCCCGACGAGCUGGCUGAGGAAUGAUGUGAGAUGGGAGCCUGCCAAGCCAAACGAGGCAAGGAAACCUCUCAAGCCAGCUAAGGUGUGGAAGCCCGACAAGCCAGCUGAGACCCGACGUCACCUACAAAAACCUCCCUGAUUCUUCAAAUUGUGGUGUCAGCAUUCUAUAAGGACCAACGCUAUGCGUUAAGAAGCAAGUACAGGGAGUGAACAUUUUUUAUUAAUAAACAAACAUGAAACAGGACAGCAUCUUGACAUGGAAAACAUAACAUUAAUGCUGACACCGGGAACAAACAGAGGAGCGGACCGAUAUAGAGGGGCAAUCAACAAAGUAAUGAGUCCAAUAUCCAGGUGAGUCCAAUAUUGCGCAGAUGCGUGUAAUGGUGACCGGUGUGCGUAAUGAUGGGAGCGGGGCCCGGCGUGACACCAAAACUGUUCAGAGAGAAGGUACUGAAAUCAUGAGCGUCAUGCGUGUGAGAAAUGCCUGUCUGAAUCAUGGCUGGAUCACCAGCCAUUGUAAUUGGAUUAUACAGUAUAUUCCUCUUCCAUCCUCCUCUCCAGCCCCAGGUCGCAGCCUCCCUUUACCCUGUAUUCUAGGACUGGUCUUUUCAGCCUUGUUAAGUUGAAUUCCUGAGUAUUAUUAAUCAGCUUUUAGGAGAUUAGUGAACCACAGAUUCAUCAUGGGUAAAUUCACAUGCAAAAACAGUCCGACCCGGGCCCCAGAGCGCAAUGCUGCGCUCUUAAUCCAACUUGACAUCAAUAGCUCUGAGCUGUGGUUGAGGAGCAGACUUGGUGCAAACAGGGCAAUUGUUUUCAUGCUCUUUUAAUGGUUUGGUUCAGGCAACACAUCAUAGUGCAGACGUUUCUCAACAGUGAGUGAUUCUGUCAACGGGGGAGCAUCUGCGCCGGCCCUCUUAAUUGCUUUAAUGAAAUAUUGAGGGUUGUGGGAGGACCAUCGUGCAUCCGAGCCACUCAAGGUCUCAACCAAAGGCUUCAGAGUGUUCCAGUAUAGUGGACAAGCUGUGUCAUAAUUAUUAGGGCACACUGUUGCAAAACAGAAAAUGAAAAUUAUCACUUCUUACUGGAUAAAUCCAGGUAGUCCCUCUCUGUUUCAGUCCUGUUUCACCUAUUUGGUUCCUAAAUAUCACAACCCCACAACCAACGUGCACAGCUGUGCCGCCUCCUGCACUGAAACGAAACUGAUGCAUAUCCAAAUCUGAUUUGACACUUGAACAAUUUGUUGUACAUGCAUUAUCGGUAGUGUUAUGACAAGUGUUGGCGGAAUCAGUAAGGUUUCUGGGGGAGCAUAUGCACAACAUGGUGGUUAGGAUGAGGAGUAGUUCAGUCAGUACAGCAUCCCUAUGUUUUAGAAAAAAGUUUCAGCAAAGAAAUCCAUUUGAAUGAUGAGAGAGAGUUGAGUGUUGAGCUCAUUCUGGAUGAAAAUAUGUACUCGUUAAUAAGCCGACCAAGCGGGCCCCAGCCAACCUGACAAGAUUGAUCCUGGGUCUUAACCUGGCAGGGGGCCUGCAGGUGGACUAAUUUGUUCUGCCAGGUCAGGCUCUGCAGGCCUGGAUCGGUGCUAAUGAUGGGAAGAACACGGAUCAGAGCUCUGCCAGCUAUAGUGUAUAAACCCCAACCACUCAGGUCUGAUGCCCCGCUGGAAUUCCUCUCUGGAUUAUAAAAUGUCCAGGCUCCCUGACUUCCAGACCUUAUUAGGCUGGGCUAGCCCGACCCGCUCUCCCCCUGGUUUCUCCUUUCUUUCCAAAUGCUCUCCUCCUGCUUCCCCCGGACUCUCCUGCUUCCUCCGGUCUCCCUUGCCUCUCGUCUCCCUUGCUUCCCUAACUCGUCUCCCCUGCUUCACUCAGACUCCCUUAAUUCCCCGCCUCCCCUUGCCUCCCCCCUGGUCUCUCCUCGCCUUCCU